UACGUAGGGGGCUAGCGUUGUCCGGAUUUAUUGGGCGUAAAGAGCGUGUAGGCGGCCAGGUAGGUCUGCUGUGAAAACUCGAGGCUCAACCUCGAGACGUCGGCGGAAACCAUCUGGCUAGAGUCCGGAAGAGGAGAGUGGAAUUCCUGGUGUAGCGGUGAAAUGCGCAGAUAUCAGGAAGAACACCCGUGGCGAAGGCGGCUCUCUGGGACGGUACUGAUGCUGAGACGCGAAAGCGUGGGGAGCGAACAGG
rnacentral:rRNA from 1 species